rnacentral:rRNA from 1 species
GACGAACGCUGGCGGCGUGCCUAAUACAUGCAAGUCGAACGCACAGUUUAUACCGUAGCUUGCUCCACCAUAGACUGUGAGUUGCGAACGGGUGAGUAACGCGUAGGUAACCUGCCUGGUAGCGGGGGAUAACUAUUGGAAACGAUAGCUAAUACCGCAUAAUAUUGAUUAUUGCAUGAUAAUUGAUUGAAAGAUGCUAUUGCAUCACUACCAGAUGGACCUGCGUUGUAUUAGCUAGUAGGUGAGGUAACGGCUCACCUAGGCGACGAUACAUAGCCGACCUGAGAGGGUGAUCGGCCACACUGGGACUGAGACACGGCCCAGACUCCUACGGGAGGCAGCAGUAGGGAAUCUUCGGCAAUGGACGAAAGUCUGACCGAGCAACGCCGCGUGAGUGAAGAAGGUUUUCGGAUCGUAAAGCUCUGUUGUAAGAGAAGAACGGGUGUGAGAGUGGAAAGUUCACACUGUGACGGGAUCGACCAGAAAGGGACGGCUAACUACGUG